rnacentral:rRNA from 1 species
UGGGGAAUAUUGCACAAUGGAGGGAACUCUGAUGCAGCGACGCCGCGUGAGUGAUGAAGGAAUUCGUUUCGUAAAACUCUGUUCUAUGGGAAGAAAAGGACUGUACCAUAGGAGAAAGCUCCGGCUAAAUACGUGCCAGCAGCCGCGGUAAUACGUAUGGAGCGAGCGUUGUCCGGAAUUAUUGGGCGUAAAGGGUGCGCAGGCGGCUUUACAAGUUGGAUGUGAAAUAUUGUGGCUCAACCACAAACGUGCAUCUAAAACUGCAAAGCUUGAGUUAAGGAGAGGUAAGUGGAAUUCCUGGUGUAGCGGUGGAAUGCGUAGAUAUCAGGAGGAAUACCGGUGGCGAAGGCGACUUACUGGACUUAAACUGACGCUCAGGCACGAAAGCGUGGGGAGCAAACAGG